UGCCAUCCUAGUGAAAUAAGCUUGUCGAUCCCUUUUACUCUAAAGACUGUGUGGCUUUCCUGACUUGAACUGAAAGAAUAUUGAGCAAUGACUAAAAUGCCAUAGAAGUCUGUGAAAAACAAACAUUGUACUAUAUGACUAUUGCAAUCCACAUUUCACGAUGUUUUGUCGCACCAAAAUCAUGUUGAGAAUCAUUGAAAGACUUUCAAAACAUAGAUGACAAAAUGUAAAAUCUUGAGCAAUGUGGGGAUGAUACAAAACUGGUAUAUUGGAGGCUUUGUGUAAUGGCCAUAAAAAGCCUGAUCACUUUCAUUCAAAGCUCGUAAAGAGUUAAUAAAUUAAUAAGAAUAAACCAGACAACAGGGGGAGGCCAGCAGAAAUAUCAUGGGUUUGAGGUUAGUGUCCCCGAGUAGAGCUCUUCUAUUUCCUCAGACAAUCCUCAACUUCUGGGAGUUUAACUUUAUAAUGGUGCUAAAGUGAUAAGCGUUCAGUAGAGCUGUAAUUCAAAUUUUGAAUUCUACUUUUUUUCAGGUUAGUGAUACCAAGAUUCUAGGGAGCAGAAGCCAUGCAAUUACAAGGGUAAACAACUGAUCCCCUGUAGUGCACUCACUGUGUUGCUAAGCUGUGACACUCAGUAGGUUAGGAAUCUUAAAUGCAGUUUCCACUUAUGAUAUUUCCAGCUGAAGAUGGGUUUACCAAGUCAUGGCUCCAUGGUGAGUCUAGGAUCAAAGGAGCUACCUUGUUUUCCCCACAAGGCACAUCUCUGCCGGAGUUGACAAAGCACCCCAUCUUCUACAUGUGUUGGCAGUCUUCCCCCUCCUGAGUCAACCCGAGCAGACCCUGACUCAUCGGUUAUUGCAAGGAACUCCACAAUUAUUUUAGUUGAAUUUUCUGUCAUUGUAGAUAAAACUGCAAUUUUGCCAUAUCUGAAAACAAAUGACUUAUUUCACAUGUACAAUGCCAUUUAAUCCAUUAAAAAGCACAGUAAAAA